AAAAAGGGCUUCUCUCGUGCGUGGCUCACUAGGGAAGCUUGGUUGCUCUUCGUGUGGAAUCGACAUCAAGAGAUUUCGGAAGCAUAAUUUUUUGGUACUUGGGCAGCUAGUGAUCGUUGGUCCUGGCACUCCC
ensembl:snRNA